UACAUACUCCUGCCAUCCGGAAAUAUUUGUCAUAGAAAUGGAUGUAUCUAGAUGUAUUUCAAUUCUAGAUACAUCCAUUUUUAUUCAUUUGUGUGACAAAUAACUACAGACGGAGGGAGUAUCAU
rfam:Hordeum vulgare subsp. vulgare, WGS project CAJW01000000 data, contig: morex_contig_369089